CGAGCGCACCCACGUCCUUAGUUGCCAUCAUUCAGUUGGGCACUCUAGGGAGACUGCCGGUGAUAAGCCGCGAGGAAGGUGUGGAUGACGUCAAGUCCUCAUGGCCCUUACGGGAUGGGCUACACACGUGCUACAAUGGCGGUGACAGUGGGACGCGAAGGAGCGAUCUGGAGCAAAUCCCCAAAAGCCGUCUCAGUUCGGAUUGCACUCUGCAACUCGAGUGCAUGAAGGCGGAAUCGCUAGUAAUCGUGGAUCAGCAUGCCACGGUGAAUACGUUCCCGGGCCUU
rnacentral:rRNA from 1 species